rnacentral:lncRNA from 1 species
CACUUUAUACACUUUCAAAUGCCAGAAUAAAGCCCUAAUGAAACACAUUUCAUUUCCCUUUUUUUAAAAAACAAAGUAAAAAGAAAACCUAUAGAAAUCAUCGCUGUUCGGCCGACUCAAGAAUCUGCGCAGUCCCACCACCACUGCGAUCGGUGGAGAACGACGCGCGCAACCCUUGUCUAGAGCCUUGGCUUAACGAUUGCCGGUCUCAGCUCCAGAAAUCCUAUCCCACGCUUCGAUUUCGACAAAGUGAAUAUGGAUUUCGAUAGCCCAUUCAUAAAGGUGAACUCUCCUUUUCAUUUUAUUUUCUUAUGCUCAAGGAUUCAUGCAAAAACUGGGAAAUGGAGAGGAAAAAAAAUUGAAAAAGGAAACAAAUCUGGGUCUCACCUUUCGAUUUUUUUUUGUGUUUUGUAUUUCAAAAUGUAUAUUGUGCGUGUAACCCAUUACAAGUGAUUCUCUUUAGGCUUUAUAGCCGAGAGAAGAAGAGAAAAAAAAUGAAAAUAAAAUAUACAAUUUUUUUUUCUGUUGUUUUCUUGCACUUAUUUGCUGUUGUGGUUUGUCCCUUUCUUCACAGGUACAGGUGCGCGCUGGCAUGUGUACGGGAGCCGAGCUAGCGUACGGAGGCUUGGCGUGGUCACUGGAAGCGUUGUACGGCGUCUGGAGGCUGCAGGGGUUGCGGCGCAAAUGAGGGAGGGGUGACCUAGGGUUGCUGGAGGCUUUUGGGCCAUUUGGGCCUCGUAACUUUGGAUAAAUGGGCUAGGGUAUUAGUGUUGGGUUUUAAUUGACUAGUCGGUUGUUUGGGUCUAUUUUUGGGUCAAGUCUAGGUUUAGUCAUUGGGCUUGUAACUUGGGUCUUGGGUUUUAAUAUUAGUUUGGGCUAUUGGUUUCUGUAAUUGGACUGUAAUGAACUGCGGUUUUUUUUAUUCUUGUUUGUUUGUUUAUUUUGUAUUUAUUUAUUUGGGUUUCUAGUGGGCCCGGGCAAAUUUGGCCCACUACAAUCUUGUCAAGUUAUCACCAAAACGACCACAAUAACGGUUCAAUCAGGGACUCAAGAUAACAAGUUCCAAGUUCAUAAAGCUUAAGAGCAAAUAAGCUAUAAAAACAUCUAAAACAUCAUGGCAAUAUUUAUGAUUUACAAUCAUAAACACUUUAUUAAAAGUUCAUUGGUUUACGAUCGUAACUCUAUUUAAACAAUUUGAUGAUUUACGAUUACAACUGGCAUUUUUAAAACACACUGAUUUAUGAUCACAACUUCAGUUUAUUGAUUUACAAUCAUGAACAAUUCAUUAAGAG